rnacentral:rRNA from 1 species
UGGGGAAUUUUGGACAAUGGGCGAAAGCCUGAUCCAGCAAUGCCGCGUGUGUGAAGAAGGCCUUCGGGUUGUAAAGCACUUUUGUCCGGAAAGAAAUCCUUGGCUCUAAUACAGUCGGGGGAUGACGGUACCGGAAGAAUAAGCACCGGCUAACUACGUGCCAGCAGCCGCGGUAAUACGUAGGGUGCAGGCGUUAAUCGGAAUUACUGGGCGUAAAGCGUGCGCAGGCGGUUUGCUAAGACCGAUGUGAAAUCCCCGGGCUCAACCUGGGAACUGCAUUGGUGACUGGCAGGCUAGAGUAUGGCAGAGGGGGGUAGAAUUCCACGUGUAGCAGUGAAAUGCGUAGAGAUGUGGAGGAAUACCGAUGGCGAAGGCAGCCCCCUGGGCCAAUACUGACGCUCAUGCACGAAAGCGUGGGGAGCAAACAGGAUUAGAUACCCUGGUAGUCCACGCCCUAAACGAUGUCAACUAGUUGUUGGGGAUUCAUUCCUUAGUAACGUAGCUAACGCGUGAAGUUGACCGCCUGGGGAGUACGGUCGCAAGAUUAAAACUUAAAUGAAUUGACGGGGUCAUAGCUGUUUCCU